GUACAAAUGUAAGACCCUUAGUCUGUAAUUGUUCACAGGGUAAAGAUGAUAGUGUUUGCAAUGCAACUAGCUCUUAGCGCCAUGGACACUUGCAAAUGGUUUAAGGACGAGUUUGAAUUAAAAGAAGCCUACAGGGUUCGACUAUACCAAAGAAGACGGAAUAGACAUGUAAAAAGUCAUAGAUACCAAAAACAGCAAAAAAGGCUUAAAGAAAGUUUAUUUAUGUGGCAAAGUGAAGAGGACUUAGA